GACGAACGCUGGCGGCGUGCUUAGCACAUGCAAGUCGAACGGAAAGGCCCUGCUUUUGUGGGGUGCUCGAGUGGCGAACGGGUGAGUAACACGUGAGUAACCUGCCCUUGACUUUGGGAUAACUUCAGGAAACUGGGGCUAAUACCGGAUAGGAGCUCCUGCUGCAUGGUGGGGGUUGGAAAGUUUCGGCGGUUGGGGAUGGACUCGCGGCUUAUCAGCUUGUUGGUGGGGUAGUGGCUUACCAAGGCUUUGACGGGUAGCCGGCCUGAGAGGGUGACCGGCCACAUUGGGACUGAGAUACGGCCCAGACUCCUACGGGAGGCAGCAGUGGGGAAUGUUGCACAAUGGGCGGAAGCCUGAUGCAGCAACGCCGCGUGCGGGAUGACGGCCUUCGGGUUGUAAACCGCUUUCGCCUGUGACGAAGCGUGAGUGACGGUAAUGGGUAAAGAAGCACCGGCUAACUACGUG
rnacentral:rRNA from 1 species